rnacentral:rRNA from 1 species
AGUGAACGCUGGCGGUAGGCCUAACACAUGCAAGUCGAACGGCAGCACAGUAAGAGCUUGCUCUUACGGGUGGCGAGUGGCGGACAGGUGAGGAAUACAUCGGAAUCUACUUUUUCGUGGGGGAUAACGUAGGGAAACUUACGCUAAUACCGCAUACGACCUACGGGUGAAAGCAGGGGAUCUUCGGACCUUGCGCGAUUGAAUGAGCCGAUGUCGGAUUAGCUAGUUGGCGGGGUAAAGGCCCACCAAGGCGACGAUCCGUAGCUGGUCUGAGAGGAUGAUCAGCCACACUGGAACUGAGACACGGUCCAGACUCCUACGGGAGGCAGCAGUGGGGAAUAUUGGACAAUGGGCGCAAGCCUGAUCCAGCCAUACCGCGUGGGUGAAGAAGGCCUUCGGGUUGUAAAGCCCUUUUGUUGGGAAAGAAAAGCAGCAGGUUAAUACCCCGAUGUUCUGACGGUACCCAAAGAAUAAGCACCGGCUAACUUCGUG